rfam:Oryza glaberrima chromosome 2 Oglab02_0209_9, whole genome shotgun sequence.
AAUAAGUGUAGUUUUACACUAUUCACAUUUAACGUUUGACUGUUCAUCUUAUUUGAAAAAAGUUUACGAUUAGUAAUUUUUAUUGCUAUUAGAUGAUAAAACAUGGAUAGUACUUUAUGUUUGAUUAAAUAUUUUUAAUAUUUUUAUAUUUUUUUUAAAUAAGAUGGACAGUCAAACGUUAAGCACGAAUAACAGCUGUAUUUAUU